UGCCAGCAGCCGCGGUAAUACGGAGGGUGCGAGCGUUAAUCGGAAUCACUGGGCUUAAAGAGUGCGUAGGCGGCCGGGUAAGUUAAAUGUGAAAGCCCACGGCUCAACCGUGGAAUUGCGUUUAAUACUGCUCGGCUUGAGGAAGACAGAGGUGAGCGGAACUGAUGGUGGAGCGGUGAAAUGCGUUGAUAUCAUCAGGAACACCAGUGGCGAAGGCGGCUCACUGGGUCUUUUCUGACGCUGAGGCACGAAAGCUAGGGGAGCGAACGGGAUUAGAUA
rnacentral:rRNA from 1 species